AACGAAUACUGUAAAGUGCUCUCUCUCUGUAAGACCGUAUAACAGAAUCUGGUACAACUUGAUACACUGGCCGGCCUUGAGCAGUCUCUUAUUAAAAUUGGCACGAUUCCCAGAAUUUAGUGCUGAAAUCUCUGUUAAGACUUUUCAGCUUGACUACAGAAUAAUGCUGUACUAAUAGAUGUAUGUUAAUAUGCUUGUUUUAAAUGGUAUAGAUUGCUGUGGUAACAUAUAAUCAUAGGUAGUGAUAAUUAUUGUUAGUAUGAAAUACUAUGAACAAUUUUUAUGUAUAAGAUCAUAUGAUUCACUUUGCUUAAUAUGAUAGCAUACCUGAAGCUGUUUUCUAUCAAGAUGAGCAUAGUUAAAAACUGAGUCCUAAUUCAAUGAAAAGAAUUACUGUGUGCUUACAUUCAAGAAUUAUAACUUCUGAAUAUAAAGGGAAAAGGAGUUAGGAGUAUUCUUAAGGGAAAGAGAAAAACAGAAAAGGAUUAAAAGACCUCGCUUUGAGUAGGUUUCUGCUUGUAAUUCAGUUUUAAAAUAAGUAGGUGAGUAAGAACAACCUAGAGUAAAAGCAGACUAUAACUUAAGAAAAAUAAGCAUUGUCAGAAGAUACACCACAAAUAGAGAGCAGAAAAAUUGAAUAAAAUCCUAUUGUAAUAUUGCGGAUAUACUGCUGCUAGCAGAAAGUAAUAAGGUUAGCAGCCAUACGCUAUAAGAAGUAAUGUACUAGUUUGACUCUGAAGUUAAAAGACGCAGCAUAAAAAGAUGUUGUGUUUAAAAUACAAAAUAAAAGGAUUGAAUAAAUAAUGAAGAAUAAAAGCAGGAGAUAGGUUUUAGGAGAGUAAACUCUAUGUGACCUGUCUUCUUGAACUCUCUAUCAGCCUGCCCUUGGAGAAAUUAAUAUUAGCUGCUGGAAGGCCUCUUUGGUGGGAAGAAGCCGGAAUUUUUUUAUCAGAAGGCUUAUAGUAUCGGGCCGGACUGCAAAAAUAGGGAGUUAGAACGGAUGGUCUUAGCACCUAAGAUAGUUAGUUGCCGGGCGGAACAAGCACGUAAGAUACAGGUGUAAGGAAAGUUCUAGGGAACAUUAAUCACUAUUAAACUUGGCAAGAAAAGAGGUGUCUCCAGCAAGCUGGUUUUAGCCAGUAUGUGUAUAGCUGAAAAAUACAGGGUCAUCUGGAUGUCAAUUAAGUUCAAGCUACCAGGGGCCCAUAGGAGAAAAACAUUACAGCUUUACAGCUCAGUAAAAUAGUUAGGUUUUCCAUAAGGAGAAAACUCUACAUUAAAAAGAUAUAAGAUGGAAGUUCCCUAUAAUACCUGCUAAACACACACCUGUAAGGAAAGAAUGAAAUUAAUUUGAGAGUGAGAUGACAUGAGGGAAUAUAUUUUUGAAAGCCAAGUUCAUGUAAUCAAUUAUAAUCAUUAUAACUAUAACUGCUAUAUUAUGAUAUAACUAUUGGUGUUGCAUAUAUUCAAAAAACACCACUUUUCUUAUAUUGGUGUUGCAUAUAUUUAAAACACCACUCCUUUUUAUAAUGCACCCAUAUUAAGUAGUGAAUCAAGGUUGCAGGGAUUUUGUGAACUCUGCUUCACCUAACUUUUCAGAUGAAGGAGGGGGGCCAAGAAUGAGUGGAUGAGAACAUGGGCUAGUGUUGAUUUGUUGACAUAUGACUCUAAUUGAGUCUGAGGAGUUGGUUGAAUUCUUUAGAGAUUACUGUUUGCCAAGAGAUAAGGACUGUCAAUAUAGAUUGAUGACUGGAUCUAAUUGGGGCUUCCCAUUGCUUUCAAUGGGACGAAAAUUGUAUAAAAACCCUGGGCCGAUCACACUGAGACCACCACAAUCAAGCUGGGCAGAGCUAUGUGGUCCAUCCUUUGCAGAUCUCUACAGAACAGUCCUUCUCUUUUGUUCACGCUACUCUUCCUUAUAAUAGGAGAUGUCAGGACUGUGUCAGGACUGCCCAGUCCCUGACCACAUUCCGGCGCCUCCUUAAGACUCACCUCUUCAAAGAGCACCUGUAGAACUCCUCUGUUUGUAUCCUGGGACACUAUCACCCUUCAUCUGCUCCUUUGGGAGUGGAGUUGCGCUGCAAGUGCGUCAAGACGAUUUCAGACUUUAUUCAUCCAAGACAAAUCACUAACAUAAACA